AACGAGCGCAACCCUACUUGCUAGUUACCAUCAUUAAGUUGGGGACGUCUAGCGAGACUGCCAGUGAUAAACUGGAGGAAGGUGGGGGAUGACGUCAAAUCAUCAUGCCCCUUAUGACCUGGGCUACAAACGUGAUACAAUGGCUGGAACAAAGGGAUGCGAAGCAGUGAUGUGGAGCGAAACCCAUAAAAACAGUCUCAGUUCGGAUUGAAGUCUGCAACUCGACUUCAUGAAGUCGGAAUCGCUAGUAAUCGCGGAUCAGAACGCCGCGGUGAAUACGUUCUCGGGGUUU
rnacentral:rRNA from 1 species